CCUACGGGAGGCAGCAGUGAGGAAUAUUGGUCAAUGGCCGUAAGGCUGAACCAGCCAAGUAGCGUGAGGGAAGACUGCCCUAUGGGUUGUAAACCUCUUUUAUGCGGGGAUAAAGGUGUCCACGUGUGGCUGUUUGCAGGUACCGCAUGAAUAAGGACCGGCUAAUUCCGUGCCAGCAGCCGCGGUAAUACGGAAGGUCCGGGCGUUAUCCGGAUUUAUUGGGUUUAAAGGGAGCGUAGGUCGGUCUUUAAGCGUGCCGUGAAAUUUUGUGGCUCAACCAUGAGAGUGCGGCGGAAACUGGAGACCUUGAGUGAGCGGAAGGCAGGCGGAAUUCGUGGUGUAGCGGUGAAAUGCUUAGAUAUCACGAAGAACCCCGAUUGCGAAGGCAGCCUGCCGCAGCGUUACUGACGCUGAGGCUCGAAAGCGCGGGUAUCGAACAGGAUUAGAUACCCCAGUAGUC
rnacentral:rRNA from 1 species